rnacentral:rRNA from 1 species
AUUGAACGCUGGCGGCAGGCCUAACACAUGCAAGUCGAGCGAGCGGCGGACGGGUGAGUAAUGUAUGGGGAUCUGCCCGAUAGAGGGGGAUAACUACUCGAAAGAGUGGCUAAUACCGCAUACUAUUGGAGCGGCCGUUAUCGGAUUAGCUAGUUGGUGGGGUAAAGGCUGACCAAGGCAACGAUCCGUAUCUGGUUUGAGAGGACGAACAGCCACACUGGGACUGAGACACGGCCCAGACUCCUACGGGAGGCAGCAGUGGGGAAUUUUGGACAAUGGGGACAACCCUGAUCAAGCCAUCCCGCGUGUAUGAGAAGGCUUUCGGGUUGUAAAGUACUUUUGGCAGAGAAGCGGUAUCUGCAGAAUAAGCACCGGCGAACUACGUGCCAGCAGCCGCGGUAAUUC